rnacentral:rRNA from 1 species
AUGUCCGGGCGCGGCAAGGGAGGCAAGGGGCUCGGCAAGGGCGGCGCCAAGCGCCACCGGAAGGUGCUGCGCGACAACAUCCAGGGCAUCACCAAGCCGGCGAUCCGGCGGCUGGCGCGGCGGGGCGGCGUGAAGCGCAUCUCGGGGCUCAUCUACGAGGAGACCCGCGGCGUGCUCAAGAUCUUCCUCGAGAACGUCAUCCGCGACGCCGUCACCUACACCGAGCACGCCCGCCGCAAGACCGUCACCGCCAUGGACGUCGUCUACGCGCUCAAGCGCCAGGGCCGCACCCUCUACGGAUUCGGCGGCUAG